rnacentral:tRNA from 1 species
GGGGUUGUAGCUUAGUGGUAAGAGCGCUCGCCUAGCAUGUGUGAGUCACUGGGUUCGAUCCUCAGCACUACA